rnacentral:rRNA from 1 species
UAACAGGAAUUAGCUUGCUAAUUUGCUGACGAGUGGCGCACGGGUGCGUAACGCGUAUACAAUCUACCUUUUGCUGAGGGAUAGCCCAGAGAAAUUUGGAUUAAUACCUCAUAGUAUUAUUGAGUGGCAUCAUUUAAUAAUUAAAGGUUACGGCAAAAGAUGAGUAUGCGUCCCAUUAGCUAGUUGGCGAGGUAACGGCUCACCCAGGCAACGAUGGGUAGGGGUCCUGAGAGGGAGAUCCCCCACACUGGUACUGAGACACGGACCAGACUCC